AGUGAACGCUGGCGGUAGGCCUAACACAUGCAAGUCGAACGGCAGCACAGUAAGAGCUUGCUCUUACGGGUGGCGAGUGGCGGACGGGUGAGGAAUACAUCGGAAUCUACUUUUUCGUGGGGGAUAACGUAGGGAAACUUACGCUAAUACCGCAUACGACCUACGGGUGAAAGCAGGGGAUCUUCGGACCUUGCGCGAUUGAAUGAGCCGAUGUCGGAUUAGCUAGUUGGCGGGGUAAAGGCCCACCAAGGCGACGAUCCGUAGCUGGUCUGAGAGGAUGAUCAGCCACACUGGAACUGAGACACGGUCCAGACUCCUACGGGGGGCAGCAGUGGGGAAUAUUGGACAAUGGGCGCAAGCCUGAUCCAGCCAUACCGCGUGGGUGAAGAAGGCCUUCGGGUUGUAAAGCCCUUUUGUUGGGAAAGAAAAGCAGCAGGUUAAUACCCUGCUGUUCUGACGGUACCCAAAGAAUAAGCACCGGCUAACUUCGUG
rnacentral:rRNA from 1 species